rnacentral:pre_miRNA from 1 species
CCGCGGAAGGCUGUGCGAUAGGAGCCGAGUACACUUAAGUUUAUCCGCUCCUACGCAGUAGCCUCCGCCA